rnacentral:lncRNA from 1 species
UGAAACAAGUUAGAAAUCAACGUGUCACUAUAACAAAAUAAGAAUUUAACGUCAAUUAUUUAGUGGCAAUAACUUAUUGGCUGCUAAUUCAUUUCUUUAUGGAGAAAUAUUUCAGGAAGAUUAGAUAUUGGCUAGGAAAAGAUACUCUUGUACCGGCAAAAAAAAUGACUACCCACUAAAAGCAACUAAUUCAAACGAAAUUUCACCAUUUUAUCUUUCCCUCACUUUUUUCACACCACUCAGCUAUUCCCUCCAAUUUAUCAAAAUAACAAAAUUAAUUUUGGAAAAUUUGGGAAUACUUCACAAAGGCUCGACCUGUCUCAUCGUCGCUGAAACCACCACCACCGCCGCCACUGCAACUCAUUUUUGUCUCACCGUCGGCUACCAAACCCAGGUAACACAAUUAUAUCUUUCUACACUCUCGUUAUCUCAUUCCGUCUAUUUAUUUGGUCUCAAACAUAUAUUCAUAUCUCUCUUUCUUUCCUUUACUGUUCUCCGAUAUGGUAUGGUAGUGUAUGUAUGUAUAAAUCCAUGUACAUAUAUUUAUACGCAUAAAUUUCAGUUAAUGUUAUUCUAAUUCGAUUUGUUUUCCUCACAUCUCGCAGUUGCUAAGGUGAUUUUUGUAUAUCUAGAGUUGGAGUAGUUCCCCUUCACCGUUUUCUGAGAAAAUUAAAUGGUUGCUCCACCCGCUCGAGCCCAUUACGAUUGCAGAUUACCUCGUCAAGCUCUUCUUGAAUGGCAAUAGCAAUAAGCUUUUUUUGUGUGUAUAAUAUGGUUUAUGCAUUUGAUAUGACAAAGUAAUGGGAUGCCAUAUUGAAAAUAGUUUUUGGCAAUGUUUAAUUUACUGGACUUCUCCUUGAAGUUGCUCGGUUAAACUAUUUGUCCGCAUAAAUUUUUAGUGUUGGUGAUAACUUCUGUAAACAAAAUAGAAGAACGCUUCAAAUAUAGGACCUUGUGGUUGAAUAUGCGGAUACUCUAUUAUAAAGAUGAAGGCUUAUUAUUGAAGAACUUGUCUUUGCUUCUGAAUUUGAAUAGUUUAGUUUCUGAUUUAGAUGCUUGGCUGUUCCAUAAUUGAAGUCUUAAAGAGGUAGCUUAAUUGAUGAUUAAGAAAGUUACAUUUUUAAUUAAUAUUUUUAAAUAUAUGUAUAAUAAUGGUGCGUGAAUUUCUCCAACAACAUAUUACGGAUACAUCAUAUUUUCAAUUCUCUGUUAUCUUGUGUUCAGGAUUAAGUCCCAAUUGUAUUUGAUAUUUUAGUGCAAAUGUGGUUGUCGAUGGCAGCACUAUUAAUUUGAGUCUGCGGAAUACUGUAGGUACACUUUGUCCAGGGCAUUAGUUUGCAUUUUUGUUUUAAUGUCAUUGUGAUAUUAUUGACUACAUCUACUAUUUGUGCACAGGUAAUGAAGAUUACAACAGCAUGCGGCUCUUGAGGCUUGAGCUAUCGCGGGCAGAUGUAUCUUGAAUUUUAGACUGGCAUGUUCUCUCGUUAGCAAGGCAAUUAUAAAAAUGUCUCCAGAAAAAGGUAGAGUUCCUUCUUAAUUUCAGGUUUCUUUAAAGUACUUUAACUUGUUUUAUAUAGUAUUGUGAAGAAAUGUGUACUCUAGCUGUAAUACCAAUUCUCGUUAUCUUGAAGCAAGUCCAUGAAGACCUUGGCUUGUUUUAGUUUUCCCUUUAGUUAUUUGGUCUUGAAAGCGUGUGAAUUUACUAAAAAUACUAGUACUGUCUACUGGGGCAUUUUAGAAUUUCUUAUGUUUACUAGAAAUGAAUGGGUAAAGGUUGCCAGUCAAAGAAAAAAAAUGAAAAGAUUUUAUGGUUGGUGAUAUUCAACACUUUUCUUGAAGGAACACCUUAUUUUCUGCUCUUGUUAUUAUGCUUUGGUGGAUCUAAAUUGAGGCACUAUGUUCCUUGAGUACCAAUUUUACUCAUUAGAACAAAGCUACGUUAGUAUCUCCUAUUUAGUCUGGUUUCAUUGUUACUCAUUAAUUUUUUUUUUUUUAAACUAAUGUCUCUAUUUGGUUAAACUGAUAUCUAUUUUCUAUCAGUCAACUUCGUCAACUUCAUUUUCGUUGUGGAUAAUUUUCUUAGACUAUGAUUGCAUUCUUUUCCGAAUAUCUUAUCUUCUCUUUAUGGAUGAGAAUGAAAUGUUAGAUACUUCCCUCUCUAUAUGGAUAAGUACUGAAAUAAUAGACUAAAAAAGAGAUUAUUUUUUUCUUUAUAGUUUUCAAUGUUAAAAGUUAUUGAGUUUACCAGGAAGUAUGUUGGUUAUAUAUAUUGUUAUCUUGUUUUGCUGAAAGAUGGGCUAUAUCAGCAGAUGAGGAAUUUGAAUUAAAUAUGAUUAGGCAUGGAGUUGAGAGGUGUUUGCUUGAAAUUUAAUUUUUUUGAAGAGAGUGCAACAAACUAAAAUUUUAGGAGUUAUAAUUUGCUUACCUAGCUUUAGCCUUUUGGAAGACAAUCACUAUAAGAAAGUUGAUAAAACAUCUAACUAAUAAAAUGACUUGUCUAAAUUGAAACAAAUAUAUGUCUACCGUUGCACUAAAUUACAUGAAGUAAUCUCUAUGCUGAAACAUAACUGUGUGGACUUAAAAAUCCAACUACUUAAAUGAGUUUAAACAAUGAAGUUGUCUACUUCAUUUACCACUGGAAGUAGCUAUGCAAUUUAUUUUUCCAUAGAGUCAUGUAUAAUGACAUUUCAGGCUCAUUUAUAUUCGAAAGUGUCAUAGCCAUUUAAUAUGUUUGUCACGAUAAGAGUUCUAUUGUGAAGAACAGGCAUUAUAGUGUCUCAAAGAUUUAGGAUUGGUUAAGGACAAAAGAGAAUGCAAUUUGUUAAGUGUAACAUACUGUAUUUUGUUUGGACUGGCAUUUGACCUUCUUCGUAUUUUAUAAACCUUUUUGAGUUUUGCUGUAUUGUAAUGGUUAGUAGGAAAAGAAAUGCAUUUCUUGUACACUUGAUUUUGAUUGAAUUAUGUAGUGGCAAUUCCUUGAUAUGCUGCCAAUACAAGUAUGUAAAGGUCAAGUAGUUGUUUUCUUCACUGUUGAUGAACUUUAUAUGUCGUUUAUUUGACAUUCAUUUUUAUUUUAUUAUUUCAGGUCAUAUAUUGUGAUGUUCAUAAAUAUGACAUGUAAAAGUCAUUGUGAUCAAGAGUUAGGAGAAUCUGCCCGAUGUAGCUUAUUAUCGAGCUUAUAGCUACUUGAUAAAACAAUUAAUUAGACGCGAAAUCAUAUUAGUUAUUAGAUUCAGAUAGUUUAGCAUUAGUUACGUUGUUUACACUCAAAUUAUGGAUUUGGUGAAGUACAUUGAGCUUCUUGAAGUGAAUUAUUAUUAUUAUUAUUAUUAUUAUUAUUAUUAUUAUUAUUAUUAUUAUUAUAGUUAUGGAAUGUAAAUAAGCAUAACAUGCAUUACAAAUGUUGGAGUAGUUCUUUCUUAAUUUUUAGUGGCAA